CCAACAGGGAUUGCCCUAGUAACGGCGAGUGAAGCGGCAACAGCUCAAAUUUGAAAUCUGGCGCAAGCCCGAGUUGUAAUUUGUAGAGGAUGCUUCUAGGUAGCGACCGGUCUAAGUUCCUUGGAACAGGACGUCAUAGAGGGUGAGAAUCCCGUAUGUGACCGGCCCGCACCUUCUACGUAGCUCCUUCGACGAGUCGAGUUGUUUGGGAAUGCAGCUCUAAAUGGGAGGUAAAUUUCUUCUAAAGCUAAAUACCGGCCAGAGACCGAUAGCGCACAAGUAGAGUGAUCGAAAGAUGAAAAGCACUUUGGAAAGAGAGUUAAAAAGCACGUGAAAUUGUUGAAAGGGAAGCGCUCACAACCAGACUUCUGGGCGGUGUUCCGCCGGUCUUCUGACCGGUCUACUCACCGUCCCGAGGCCAACAUCAUCUGGGACCGCUGGAUAAGACCUCAGGAAUGUAGCUCCCCCUCGGGGGAGUGUUAUAGCCUGUGGUGAUGCAGCGCGUCUCGGGUGAGGUCCGCGCUUCGGCAAGGAUGUUGGCGUAAUGGUUGUCAGCGGCCCGUCUUGAAACACGGACCAAGGAGUCUAACAUCUAUGCGAGUGUUCGGGUGUCAAACCCCUACGCGUAAUGAAAGUGAACGGAGGUGGGAAGCGUAAGCUGCACCAUCGACCGAUCCUGAUGUCCUCGGAUGGAUUUGAGUAAGAGCAUAGCUGUUGGGACCCGAAAGAUGGUGAACUAUGCCUGAAUAGGGUGAAGCCAGAGGAAACUCUGGUGGAGGCUCGCAGCGGUUCUGACGUGCAAAUCGAUCGUCAAAUUUGGGUAUAGGGGCGAAAGACUAAUCGAACCAU
rnacentral:rRNA from 1 species